rfam:Pseudopropionibacterium propionicum F0230a chromosome, complete genome.
GAGUCACUUCCACCACUACGGAUCGUCGGGCACGUACCUGCCCGUGGAAAGGAAAUG